rnacentral:hammerhead_ribozyme from 1 species
ACCCAGUUGACGAGUCCCAAAUAGGACGAAACACAUAUCUUGGAU